GGAGGUAGUGACAAUAAAUCACAAUGCGGAACAAUGUUUUGCAAUUGGAUUGAGAACAACGUACAAACCUUAUCGAUAAACAAUUGGAGGGCAAGUCUGGUGCCAGCAGCCGCGGUAAUUCCAGCUCCAAUAGCGUAUAUUAACGUUGUUGCAGUUAAAAAGCUCGUAGUUGAAAUGAAGAGUGUGUUGUUGUGGUAAUACAUUCGUGUAUUGUCAACAUCAACCAUUCUCCUUCUAAAUAAUGUAUAUGAGUAUUAAUUUACUUGUAUAUGUAUUUAGACAUUUACUGUGAGAAAAUUAGAGUGUUCAAAGCAGGCAUUUGCUUGAAUAUAUUAGCAUGGAAUAAUCAUGUAUGAUUUUCAUGAUGUAUUUGAUUGGUUUGGUUCAUGAGAAUAAGAUUAAAAGGGACAGUUGGGGGUAUUCAUAUUCAAUAGUCAGAGGUGAAAUUCUCGGAUUUAUGGAAGAUGAACAAGUGCGAAAGCA
rnacentral:rRNA from 1 species